rnacentral:tRNA from 1 species
GGGGUUGUGGCUCAGUGGCAGAGCACUCGCCUAGCAUAUGGGAGGUGCUGGGUUCGAUCCUCAGCACCACA